GCCCAGUUCUUGCCUGGAUCCUUGAGGGUCUUGGUAAGGAGCACCCAAUAGCAAAGCUCAGGGAGGCUUAGGACCUAAAAAACAGGUGCCUUCUACAGAGUGACUCCAGGGUCUGAAGUCAGCUCUUCAUUCCUUUGAGCCUGAUAUAUGAAGAAAAAGUAGGACACUUUGGUAUUUUACCUUCCUGUCCUCUCAAAAUAGGAGAAAAAAGAAUGGAAACAGGAAGGGACUAGUGGGGGAGUUUCAUGUUUUAAACAUGUCCAGUUUGAUGUUUCCUUCCAACUACAUAAAUUUCUCCCGGAUCAAUGAGGCAUUUAAGGGGCAGACAAGGAAGAGGACCCCUAUAGGGAGACCCCAAGAAAGGCACAUAAACGAAGAAAGGAGGUGAUAGUCCUGUUGAUCUUAGAGCCAGGCACCCUACAUGGCUUGUGAUUCCUCCCUGCCUUCAAUAUGCAAAAGGUUGGAGAGUUGGCUCAGGGGUUCCAGAGGAUCAGGGUUCAAUUCCCAGCACCAGUGUGGCAGCUUACAACUGUCUCUAACUCCAGUUCCAGGGGAUACAAUACCCUCACACAGACACACAUGCAGGCAAAGCAAAUAUUUAUUUUACAAAAAAUAAAAA
rnacentral:lncRNA from 1 species